rnacentral:rRNA from 1 species
AACGAACGCUGGCGGCAGGCCUAACACAUGCGAGUCGAGCGCCCUUUCGGGGGAGCGGCGGACGGGUGAGUAACGCGUGGGAAUAUGCCCUUCUCUACGGAAUAGCCUCGGGAAACUGAGAGUAAUACCGUAUACGCCCUGUGGGGGAAAGAUUUAUCGGGGAAGGAUUAGCCCGCGUUGGAUUAGGUAGUUGGUGGGGUAAUGGCCUACCAAGCCGACGAUCCAUAGCUGGUUUGAGAGGAUGAUCAGCCACACUGGGACUGAGACACGGCCCAGACUCCUACGGGAGGCAGCAGUGGGGAAUCUUAGACAAUGGGGGCAACCCUGAUCUAGCCAUGCCGCGUGAGUGAUGAAGGCCUUAGGGUUGUAAAGCUCUUUCAGCUGGGAAGAUAAUGACGGUACCAGCAGAAGAAGCCCCGGCUAACUCCGUG